rnacentral:lncRNA from 1 species
GUCCACGGGGUCGCAAAGAGUCGGACACGACUGAGUGACUUCACUUCACUCAACACUUGCUGCCCUGCAUUAAUAAUACACCGGUAGCCAACAAAAGCAUUUUCCCUUUGUCCAACUGGGGCCCCAAGACAACAUUUAAACGACCCGAAAUCACUCCCUCUGUAUGAAAGACUAACGGCCUCGGUUUCUUGGUCCAGGUGGACUCUGGGCACCUCUGCGGUUCUCCGACCAGGACCCCAGGCUUACACACACGCCUCGCCAACCCGUUCCUACCACACUGAAGCCCCUAGCCGGCAGCACGUAUACUUCAGCUUCUGCAACGAGAAUAAGGAUGCGACCCUGAAGGCAUUCGAAAAGAAAGGGUCACGAGGCCUCAGAGCCGGUCCGAGGAAUCCCAGGUCAGCGAGGCUGAAGCCGUGCAAGCGCCGGAAGAACCAGUUCCCUUGCCCCGACAGACCCGAGUCAUGUCACCCAGGGGCCGCGGCCCCGCUACUCCGGGGUCCUUCCCCUCCGCAGGUCGUGCCUCGGCCCAGCCCCGGGGCCGCGGUCCCGGGUCUGCAUGGACACGGCCCCACCACUUGAGCCAACGGCCCCCGGAAAAGCUAGACAGCCUUUCUAGGGCUUCAUGCGCGGCCUCAGCCGCCACAGGGUUGAAACUCACGCCUGAGGGGCCGGGGGAGAGACGGGAGCCAGCGGGAACCACGCGUUGGCCUUUACCUGGAAGAUGGCGGUUCCGGCCGAAAAGAAGGAGGCGGGGCCGCGCAUGCGCCUUUCAAGGGCCUGUGGGCUGCCCACGGCGCUGCCUGAAGAAACGCCGAUCGACAGCCAUUCUUUCCUGGGGAGUGAGGUCAUCGUCCCUGAGGACGAGGAGAGCCUGUGAGGAUAGUAUCCUUUCUUGCGAAAAAGAGGGCGAGGUAAUCGACCGACACAGGCUGACACUUGGCUCUUGCCAGACAGCCCGGAAAGGGGCCUUCAAGGGGGUCCAACGGGCGCCGACGUCCCUAGCGUGUUGACGUCAUCACCUGCGUCAGACGCCACGCCGGGUGCGGGCGUGUACGUGCGUCCUCGGGCAGCACCCGGGCGCGCGAGGUUAUAGGUCUGUGCUCCCUGCCGCAGUCUGUGGGGAUGGCUAUGUGUGCAGAAAAGGCAGGCUAUAGUGAAGAAAGCGUAUUGUCCGGUUUGUACGUGUUUCAAACUUUUUUUUUUCUUAAUGCGUAAAAGCAUACUACACAUCUGGUAGGUUCGUGCGUGUUACAACCACUUUGAAAAGCCACAGGGCAAAAUCUAGUGAAACGGAAGAUGUAGGAAUAAUCAGAUUCCGGGGAUUUCCCUGACGGUCCAGUGGCUGGGACCCCCGCUUUCCCAAUGCAGGGGUCCCUGGUUCCAUCCCUGGUGGAGGAUCUAGAUUCCCAUCUGCCGCAUCUUGUGUUGCAACUAAAGAUUCCGCAGGUUUUUAAGGAUCCUGCUAAGGCCCUAAGAUGGAGGGGGGGGAGGGGUGGUAUUUUUAGUUGUUGGCCGUUACAAUCACUCCCUUCCAGCUCCCACAGGUCAUCUUUCCUUUCUUAAGAUUUUCCUUGCUAAGGCUCCUUGGAUAAACGCAGCCUCUGCCGUCUCCCUGACCGCAUCUCCACAGUUGAGCGUCGUCCUCGGCUGCACACAGGCCAACUGCAGUCACUAUAAUAAGUCAUAUCUGGGCUGUAGUUUGCACACACGGACUUUGUUUUGUUCAACAGAUAGCAGUGUUAAGCCAUGUGGCUCAGAUGGUGAGGAAUCUGUCUGGAAUCCGCCUGCAAUGCGGGAGGCCUGGGUUCGAUCGCUGGGUCGGGAAGAUGCCCAGGAGGAGGGCAUGGCAACCCACUCCAUUAUCCUUGGGUAGGGAAUCCCAUGGCGGACUAGAGUCCAUAGGGUCACAACUGAGAGUCAGACAUUACUGAGCGACUAGCACACGCACCCACACACACANNNNNNNNNNNNNNNNNNNNNNNNNNNNNNNNNNNNNNNNNNNNNNNNNNNNNNNNNNNNNNNNNNNNNNNNNNNNNNNNNNNNNNNNNNNNNNNNNNNCACACACACACACGAUUUUAGUUAACUUAAAAAAAAAAAAAAAAACCAUCCUGGGAGUUCCCUGAUGGUCCAGUGGUCAGGACUCUGAGUCCUCUGCAGGGGGCAUGGAUUCGAACCUUGGUCUGGGAACUAAGAUCCUGCACUUCAGUUUAGUCGUGUCCAGCUCUUUGAUACCCGAUGAACUGCAGCACUCCAGGCUUCCCUGUCCAUCACCAACUCCGAGAGCUUGCUGAAACUCAUGUCCAUCAAGUUGGUGAUGCCAUCCAACCAU